rnacentral:rRNA from 1 species
GAUGAACGCUGGCGGCGUGCCUAAUACAUGCGAGUCGAGCGAACGGACGAGAAGCUUGCUUCUCUGGUGUUAGCGGCGGACGGGUGAGUAACACGUGGAUAACCUACCUAUAAGACUGGGAUAACUUCGGGAAACCGGAGCUAAUACCGGAUAAUAUUUUGAACCGCAUGGUUCAAAAGUGAAAGACGGUCUUGCUGUCACUUAUAGAUGGAUCCGCGCUGCAUUAGCUAGUUGGUAAGGUAACGGCUUACCAAGGCAACGAUGCAUAGCCGACCUGAGAGGGUGAUCGGCCACACUGGAACUGAGACACGGUCCAGACUCCUACGGGAGGCAGCAGUAGGGAAUCUUCCGCAAUGGGCGAAAGCCUGACGGAGCAACGCCGCGUGAGUGAUGAAGGUCUUCGGAUCGUAAAACUCUGUUAUUAGGGAAGAACAUAUGUGUAAGUAACUGUGCACAUCUUGACGGUACCUAAUCAGAAAGCCACGGCUAACUACGUG